UACGUAGGGCGCAAGCGUUAUCCGGAAUUAUUGGGCGCGAAGAGCUCGUAGGCGGUUUGUCGCGUCUGCUGUGAAAGCCCGGGGCUCAACCCCGGGUCUGCAGUAGGUACGGGCAGACUGGAGUGCAGUAGGGGAGACUGGAAUUCCUGGUGUAGCGGUGAAAUGCGCAGAUAUCAGGAGGAACACCGAUGGCGAAGGCAGGUCUCUGGGCUGUUACUGACGCUGAGGAGCGAAAGCAUGGGGAGCGAACAGG
rnacentral:rRNA from 1 species